UACGUAGGGGGCAAGCGUUGUCCGGAAUCAUUGGGCGUAAAGAGCGUGUAGGCGGCCCGAUAAGUCCGCUGUGAAAUCUCGAGGCUCAACUUCGAGCUGUCGGUGGAAACUGUCUGGCUAGAGUCCGGAAGAGGAGAAUGGAAUUCCUGGUGUAGCGGUGAAAUGCGCAGAUAUCAGGAGGAACACCGAUGGCGAAGGCAGGUCGCUGGGACGUGACUGACGCUGAGACGCGAAAGCGUGGGGAGCAAACAGG
rnacentral:rRNA from 1 species